UAGGGAAUCUUCCGCAAUGGACGCAAGUCUGACGGAGCAACGCCGCGUGAGUGAAGAAGGUUUUCGGAUCGAACAACUCUGUUGGUAGAAGAACAAGUGCUAGAGUAACUGUUAGCGCCGUGACCGCUCUGACGAAUCCCACCAUAAAGCCACGGAUAACUACGUGCCAACAGCCGCGGUAAUACGUAGGUGGCAAGCGUUGUCCGGAUUUAUUGGGCGUAAAGCGAGCGCAGGCGGUUCCUUAAGUCUGAUGUGAAAGCCCCCGGCUCAACCGGGGAGGGUCAUUGGAAACUGGGGAACUUGAGUGCAGAAGAGGAGAGUGGAAUUCCAUGUGUAGCGGUGAAAUGCGUAGAUAUAUGGAGGAACACCAGUGGCGAAGGCGACUCUCUGGUCUGUAACUGACGCUGAGGCUCGAAAGCGUGGGUAGCAAACAGGAUUAGAUACCCUGGUAGUCCACGCCGUAAACGAUGAGUGCUAAGUGUUGGAGGGUUUCCGCCCUUCAGUGCUGCAGUUAACGCAUUAAGCACUCCGGCCGGGGUAGACACACAGGUUGAA
rnacentral:rRNA from 1 species